rnacentral:rRNA from 1 species
GACGAACGCUGGCGGCGUGCUUAACACAUGCAAGUCGAACGGAAAGGCCUGCUUUCCCUUGUGGAUUGCGGGUACUCGAGUGGCGAACGGGUGAGUAACACGUGAGUGAUCUGCCCCCAACUUGGGUAUAAGCCUGGGAAACUGGGUCUAAUUCCCGAUAGGACUGCAGGGUGGUGCCUGUGGUGGAAAACGAUUUUCUAGUGGUUGGGGAUGAGCUCUCGGCCUAUCAGCUUGUUGGUGGGGUAAUGGCCUACCAAGGCGGCGACGGGUAGCCGGCCUGGGAGGGUGGACGGCCACAUUGGGACUGAGCUACGGCCCAGACUCCUACGGGAGGCAGCAGUGGGGAAUAUUGCACAAUGGGCGGAAGCCUGAUGCAGCGACGCCGCGUGGGGGAUGACGGCCUUCGGGUUGUAAACUCCUUUCGACCGCGAGGAAGCCACCUGGUUGGAAGGGUGGUGACGGUAGUGGUAGAAGAAGCACCGGCUAACUACGUG